rnacentral:lncRNA from 13 species
AUUGUACCGCUCCUGCUCUCUCCUCGUAGUUAUUUUUAGCCCAUUCGUCAUACCGUUUUUAGACACUGAGCAUUUCUAUUCGCUUCGAUUUUAAAACACGGCGCUCGCCUGACCCGAAGCCCUCUAUCUGCCUUCGAGCAGGGUACUAAAUUCACUUUACCGUUGCCAAAUUGAUCCAACCGAGUUUCUUCUCAACUCAACGUGGUUUUGUUGUACAGAAGUCAGCUUCUCUAGUCAAACAGCCAAAGAGCAAAGACAGGACAACAGCACAGAAGAAAAAAUCAGCACAGUUAUAAACCCACCACGGUCAUCCUGGCUGAUCGCCUACGAGCGUUACGUCUCACAGACAACCAUACGACCAACAGAUCCAGCUAGUGUGCGAGGGCUCACAGAUGUCCACUCUGUGCUGUUCAGAUGGCUUGAGGGGGCAGGUACCAUCUGAGCUGUGUCAUGGAUGGACCGAGUCAUUUUAACAGCUCCAUGCACUUACAGUAGGUUUGACACAGUGCAUCCUGAUUGGCACCCUUUUCCCUAUAUAGUGCACUGCAUUUGACAGAGCUAAUAGAAUAGGAUGCCAUUUGGGAUGCAGCCUCAGUUUCAUGGUACCAAAAUGUUGCUUAGAUUAAAACAUUUUUUGGGAUUAAAUACAGAGGGACGAAACACGUUGAUUUGACAGGUAUUGUUAGUCACUUGUAGAUUAUGAUAAUGUACGUCCGUAGAGGUGUGGCCAUAUUACUAAGCACAUUGGCAAGUCAGAUCCAAUGAGGCACAGCACAGUACGUGCUGCUAGUCAACACACACUGACAAUACAUUCAUGUCUAGUUGGAUAUUUAACUUGUCGGUCCAAUUCUGCGAUAACACUGUGAUUGCAAAGUGAAUGUAAUGUAAUGUGUUUACUGAGUUUGAUGAUAAUUGUUUAUUGUUUUGACACAUUGUACACAGGAAAGAAUAAUGCCUGUGAAUGUGUUCAUUCAACCAGUUAGAACAGCACUUGUUGAACAUGGGCCCUGGUAAAAAAAAGUAGUGCACUGUCGAGUGCAUAGAGUGCCAUUUAGGACGUAGAUAUUGUUUCAAAUGGGACUUGUUACAGUAAAGAGAAGUGUGUAUUGCCUUGUAGUUUAGAGGGAAUUGAAACUAAAGGCCUGUUGUUGAAUGGCUUGGUCAUCAUAGUUUCUGUUCCACAAACACUCCUUUGAUAUAGUAGAUGUCUCCAUAGCAGGUUUGAUUUGAUGCCUUGUUAAACAGUGUGUCUGGCUGUGUUUUCCCUCACAUCUUACUGAAACCUGACCUGUAAUGUAGUGAGGGACAUGUAAGGGAACUGAAAGAAGAAAUGCUGAACAUUUUGUUCUUUUUAUUAUUCUCCUAUUGAUAUGAAAUGGCCUUUGGGAGCCCCCUUGUUGGCCUUUUCACCAGACUAAUGACAGUUUUAAAGUGAUGUGAGAGUGUAGGGUUUGGGAGUACUGAGGUUCACAACAGUGAUGUGUCCAAAAUGGCACCCUAUUCCCCCCAGGGCUCUUGUCAAAAGUAGUUGCACUAUAUAGGGAAUAGGGUGCCAUUUGGGAUGGAGGAAGAGGAAGUAUGUAUGAUGACACUGGUCAGAGGAAUGAUAUACAGCACAGUAGUCAACAGUCAUGUGCUUUAUAACAUGACUGUGUAAAAAAUAACAUUACUUAUCGAAAAAUUUGAAAAUUGGGAGCAAAAAAAAAACGGAUCAUAUUUUGCUAUGUAAUUAUUGCCCGUAUGCGAACCGAAAUGAGAAGCUCUGACGUUAGUCAUAUUUCACACAUUGAAUUUCACACAUUGAAAAUGUGUGCCGUCAAUUUAACCAGCAUUUUCACCAACAGUAAUCAGUUUUAACUUGACAAAUUGAAAUGCAUUAUAGAAUCAGUUUCAACAACAUAAAGCAGUUAACCUUAUUACCUUAAGUUUCAUACGUACAGUAGAUAUAU